AUGGCUUCCUCCAGCGCCUCCAACCCUACCCUCUCUGGCCAAGUCACCGAGCGCCUCACACGCCCCAACUACAUCCUAUGGCGUACCUAGAUCACGCCACAACUCCGUGGUGCUGGUUUCUUCGGGUACGUGGACGGGAGCAUGUCGGAGCCAGCCAAGGUCGUCGUCUCCAAGAACAAGGAUGGCAAGGAGGAGACCACCCCGAAUCCUCUACAUCAACUUUGGAUCAGGGAAGACCAGCAGGUACUGGGUUAUCUUCUGAAUAAUCUGUCCAAAGAAGUACUCGUACAGGUGACUGCGAUCACCCAUGCACAUGAGCUCUGGAUGGCGUUGGCGAGGAUGUUCUUGUUAACCUCGCUGUCCCACAUCAACAACAUCGGUGCCGCCCUCACGAACGCGCAGAAGGGGACGCAAUCGGUCACUACUAGGGAAAAACUUAUACACGGAACUUGA
rnacentral:rRNA from 1 species